UCCUACGGGGGGCAGCAGUGGGGAAUAUUGCACAAUGGGGGAAACCCUGAUGCAGCGACGCCGCGUGAGUGAAGAAGUAUUUCGGUAUGUAAAGCUCUAUCAGCAGGGAAGAUAAUGACGGUACCUGACUAAGAAGCCCCGGCUAACUAUGUGCCAGCAGCCGCGGUAAUACGUAGGGGGCAAGCGUUAUCCGGAUUUACUGGGUGUAAAGGGAGCGUAGGUGGCAGGGCAAGUCAGAUGUGAAAACCCGGGGCUUAACCCCGCGGAUUGCUUUUGGAACUGUCAGGCUGGAGUGCAGGAGGGGC
rnacentral:rRNA from 1 species